AGAGUUUGAUCCUGGCUCAGGAUAAACGCUGGCGGCGUGCCUAACACAUGCAAGUCGAACGCUCAGGCGAUAGCCUGGGAGUGGCGGACGGGUGAGGAACACGUGGGUUAUCUACCUUGAGGUGAGGAAUACCGGCGAGAAAUCGCCGACAAUACCGCAUACGUUUGGAAACAAACAAAGCUCAGCAAUGAGCGCCACAA
rnacentral:rRNA from 1 species